rnacentral:rRNA from 1 species
UGUCCCGGUUUAAGCGUGUAGGCUGGUUUUCCAGGCAAAUCCGGAAAAUCAAGGCUGAGGCGUGAUGACGAGGCACUACGGUGCUGAAGCAACAAAUGCCCUGCUUCCAGGAAAAGCCUCUAAGCAUCAGGUAAUAUCAAAUCGUACCCCAAACCGACACAGGUGGUCAGGUAGAGAAUACCAAGGCGCUUGAGAGAACUCGGGUGAAGGAACUAGGCAAAAUGGUGCCGUAACUUCGGGAGAAGGCACGCUGAUAUGUAGGUGAAGUC